UCUCAAUGAUAUGGCAGUGAAUAUAGCAUUGCAUAUAUGCCAUUACUGUUAUGACGUCGUGGUACUGUGAAUUGUAUUCGUGUAUAUUUAGAGGUUUUAGACACUGCGGAAGAUACGGAAUGGUCUAGAUACAUGCAGAGCUGAAAUCAAUUGGUGAUUUGAACUAUUUUAAGAGAAACUUAAGAAUUUUUAACUUAAGACUAGAAUUUUUCAGCAAUCUGCCUGACAAUUCGUUUCUGUGAUAUUUUGGUUGCAAUUUUAAAACAUAGGUACAGAUGACCAAACAGUUUCGCCGUAUACGCAUGCAAUGUACCGAUCAAUUCGAAACUUCAACACCCCCCCCCCCGGGCAUAUCCCGGGAAUUUGACUUCAAGUCUUCUCCAGGGAGUAGGGAAUUUGACGUUCUAAGUCUUCCAUGUGGUGGGGUAUUUAGUAGUGGUGGGGUAUUUGGUAAGGGUGGAGAAUUUGAACUGAAAGUCUUAAAAUUUUGCCCGUUUUCGCGUGCUUCGUGCAUGCAGGCUACUAAUUAUUAAAACACUACAGAAAAGACUUCGCAUUGGCGGCAAAUACAGUUUUCUCAGAUUUCGAGAGAAAAGGGCUCAAUUUUGUUAAAAACUGACUCAAAAAACGGGCAUGGAAAAGCUAUGUGCUUCACUUGAAGGUAUGUACUAUAAAAUUGUGUAAAACUGUUAAAUUCCCAUAAGGUUUCCAAACUUUUUAAGU